GACGAACGCUGGCGGCGUGCUUAACACAUGCAAGUCGAACGGAAAGGCCCUGCUUGCAGGGUGCUCGAGUGGCGAACGGGUGAGUAACACGUGGGUGAUCUGCCCCUUACUUUGGGAUAAGCCUGGGAAACUGGGUCUAAUACUGGAUAGGACCAUGCUGUAGGUGGUGUGGUGGAAAGAUUAGUUUCGGUAAGGGAUGAGCUCGCGGCCUAUCAGCUUGUUGGUGGGGUAAUGGCCUACCAAGGCGUCGACGGGUAGCCGGCCUGAGAGGGUGGACGGCCACAUUGGGACUGCGAUACGGCGCAGACGCCGACGGGAGGCAGCAGAGGGGAAUAGUGCACAAUGGGCGCAAGCCUGAUGCAGCGACGCCGCGUGGGGGAUGACGGCCUUCGGGUUGUAAACUCCUUUCAGCCAUGACGAAGCCCUUGUGGUGACGGUAGUGGUAGAAGAAGCACCGGCUAACUACGUG
rnacentral:rRNA from 1 species